rnacentral:misc_RNA from 1 species
GCUGCAAAGUGAUGCAGCUGUUUCACUUUCCAGUAAGAGCUGGGUAGCAAUCUACAGCAGUCGAAAAGACUAGCGGAGAUGUUUCAGGCAAAUGAAAGUGAGGCAAGUGCGAUGCCAACAAGCCCUGCAUCUUUCAUGGAAUGCGCUGAUUGAAGGCCUGUGCUGCCGCUUCCCUAUGGCCGCGUAAAGCAACCUCAUGUGUUGUUAAAGUUCCUCUCUUGCAUGCUCACUGGUUCGAUCUUGCGAUCUGCAGUGAGCCUUGAUGAGAAGGGAACCAGACAGACUUGAGCUUGUAGGUGAGUCCUUUUCGCGUUUCUUCAUGCCACCUGCUGGUGCUGUCGUGUCUAUCUGAAACCGCCGGCUAAUUUAGAGGACAAGAUUUUUUUCAUGUGUGGGUACCUUGAUUGUAAGUGCCAGGACAACCGAGUUUAUGAUUUGCAUCUGCUGCUUGCAUACCCAACUGCAAAUGCGCCUACUGUUUUUAACCCGUUUCAAUCCCACUGCUGCGUUUUUCGGGAUUUGCUCGGCGGUUUUACGGAUUUUGCACCUCACGCCGACGAUUCCGCGAAUGUGCCGUGAGUCUGUUCCAUAGGCUAGCCGCGAACCACUGAAACUGCCCUCAACAACCCCACAAAAUCUCGUCUCUUCGCUCUUGUCUUUUCUCAG